rnacentral:misc_RNA from 1 species
UGAUCGGAUAGAUAAAGCAUGCAGGCAUUGUACGCAGGUAUAUACGUCUAGUCGGUGACGGGCGAGGGGGGCGUGUGAUAACGAUGGCUGCGAUAACGGCGCGGCGGAGAGCGCGCCGGUCGCUCGCCCGCGGCAGACACCAAUUUUUCAACACUUUUUGCGCGUCUAACUGCAAGUGCUAGCGGUAUAUCGUGGUGCGCAGUGUCAUAGUGUGGAGCGACCUAACAUGUACUAUAUGAUUUAAGCAGUUCCGCAGAAGCCGUAGGCCAAUGCGGACACGUUCUCGGCAAUUACCCUUAAUUGGUAGAUUAACAAAUUGACAUAACUUUUGCUUUCUGGCCUCGUCAUCGUCUCGGCAGUCGCAUAGUGUUAAUGUGUUUUCGGCGUUGAGUAAACAUUUUAGUGACGUUCCCACUUUUCACUUACAAUUUCUGAUAAAGUAAACAUUACUAGUGAAACGGAAUCAAAACAGUGAUGAGUCAGUGAUUUAAGUGCGUGAGUUAAGAUGAAGGAUUCGGCAGCGCGCUGCGAGGACGUGGCGGACAAGCUGGUGCGGCUGUUCGGGUGGCGGCAGACCUACCCGGUGCAGAAACUGCAGAGGAACAUACUGCCGAAGGCCAAUGAAGCGGGCCCCGAAACAUGGGUGGGAGUGCGAGCGCUGCGCGCCAGCUCCGGCGGCAUCCUGGACCCGGACGACCGCGUGCGCGACGUGGCCGACGACCGCGAGACGCUCACCGCCGAGUGCGCGGCGCAGGCGCCGGCGCCGCGGGCGGCGCAGGCCGACGGCGCCAGCGGCUCCAGCGCGGGCACCGCAUCCCCGGACAUGUUCCGAGGCGGCGGCGGCGUCGGCGGCAGUAUGCGUGUGCCCAACUCCGAGUCGUGCGUGGAGGUGGGAGCGGCGGACCUUGAAGACGGCGCCAACGGACUGCAGGUCCGGCGCGGCAGUGAACCCACCUUGCACCAGGACACCUUACCUCCUCAACGAACGGCCACAGAGCAGACGAAACGCUGGUCAGCAGCGGUAGUCUGCCGGGACGACAACAGAACAACACAGAAAGUGCAUCCUUUGCCGGAUGGCCGGCCGCCCGACCCUGACAGACUCAGCUCCGGACACUUCCAGCGACAAACCAAUAGGCUCUCCAUGCAAUUCUCUGGACCGGGGAGUGGAGUAUGGCUAGACGCGGCCGACAGAGUGCAGAGCUACGGCAGCAAGAGCUUGCCCCGCGACGCGAGAAGAGAGCCCCUCGGCCAGGACACGUCGGGCGACAACCACCGAGUAGAAGACAUGUUGCGAUGGGUGUCCGGGGUCAACAAUGUCGCCAGCGUGCAUCCGCAGGAGCGCCCACUUGAUCUCUUACCCGAGGUGGGCAGCACGGAACGCGCGAUAUCCGGCCAAGAAGUCCCAGUGAGCCCGAGCAGCAAACCAGCAACAGCAACGCAGAAUGUUUCCGUCACGCUCGUGAAAGGCGAGAAGGGACUAGGCUUCACAAUCACCACCAGGGACAACCCGACGGGCGGACACUGUCCUAUCUACAUUAAGAAUAUUCUUCCUAAGGGUGCGGCGGUAACGGACGGCCGGUUGCGCGCCGGAGACCGGCUAGUGUCCGUCAACAACGUGUCCGUCUCCGGCCUCACGCAGCAACAGGUGGUGUCGCUGCUGAGGAACACGCCCACCGACUCCACUGUUGACAUCGUGGUGCAGCGGCCUGUCAGCAGAACACAGAGGGUUGAGCCCCAACAGAGUCCCCAAAAAUUCACUGAAAAGGCGAUAGGCACGCCCAACGGCCAAUCCAAACCUGUAGACAUCGGUGAGAACGGGAGAGUGUCUAGUAUAGUGAACGCCAUCAACCAGGGCUCAACUCGGGGCAGGAUACCCAAGAGCUCUUCCAAGGACGACCUCAUCAAAGACCAGGACACCUCGCUGCAGGACGCUUUGAAUUCUAGUUCUAACUCUAUCCUUAGUUUAAGAAAUCGUCUGAUCCUUCGGUUAGACGUACCUGUUCACGACUCCGAAAAGGCUGGGCUUGGCAUCAGCGUCAAAGGCAAAGUCACCGUGGGCACGGAUCCUCAAGAUCUCGGCAUCUUCAUCAAGUCAGUGCUACACGGCGGUGCCGCUUCUAGAGAUGGCAGAUUACAUACAAACGACCAGCUGCUGAGCGUAAACGGUGUGUCGCUAGUGGGGCAGUCCAACGCCGAGGCCAUGGAGACACUCCGGCGCGCCCUACUGCACGCGAGGCCCAGCGUUCGCGGCAGCAUCUCACUCACCAUCGCUAGAAGGACAGAUAGUAUGGACAGCCUGGCUCGAUGGAAAGACGACACGCCGCCCAACGGCAACGAAUCCACCAACAGCGUCGAAAACAACAGCUCCCAGAACUUCAACACGGUCAUAUACAACACCGACAAGGAAAACAAACCCACCGACUACAACCAGAACAAAUUCGACAACCACAAAGACCGGAGCAUAGACAACGAACACAGAGGCAGCAAGAAACACGCGUCCAUAAUCACAAUAAAUAAUAACACGAGCUGGGUCUCCAACCAAUCCGAUGAUAGCAAAGGGUAUUUAGAAAGAGAGAAAGAUACGGUUCCUCAUGAUCCUAAAAGAGAUAGCUUCGAAUGGAGUCGGCUAGACGGUUGGAAUCCGGUUAUAGAUAGACUGACUGGUCUAAGGAACGAGAGUUACUAUAUGGCGACGCAACUGGACGCGCCGGUGACGAAUGGUCAUUUCAGGCCGAAUGUGGGACAUGUUCAUAUGUCGAGGUCGCCGCCAGCGCACCAUAAUGUUAUUAUUGAAGAAGACUAUGGAACCACCACGAGAGGAAGCACAAGCGGCCCCGGCGAAUCAGGCAGCGAAAGCGGAGCGGGCUUCAGUCGGGACGCCGUAGGACGCCGCUCCAUGUCGGAGAAACGCCACGCCGCCAUGGACGCCAAGACCACCGGCACCUACAAGAAGAUCAAGGAGAUCAAGGCACAGCACUCAUUACAAGUGGGACCUUCACUGGGAAUGCGGAAGUCGUCUAGUUUAGAGUCCCUACAAACAGCGAUACAGGAAAACCAAAGGAACCCGCGGAACGAACCGAUAUACGCGCGAGCGCAUCCACCGCUGAAGCACUGGCUGACGGACGGCGGGCGCGGGCCCGAGGGCAUGGUGCGCGGCUCGCCGCAGCAGUCCUCGCUGUCGCACAAGAAGCCCGGCCUGCUCAAGUCGCUCUCCAAUAUGUUAAGAAUCGGCAAACCCCACAAAAAGCCGGAAACGGAAAUAUACGGGAGAUCUCAACCAGGCCGAGCAUCGGAGAAGUCUCUAUCGAGGGAAGCGCUAGAGCGGCACAACCGAGAGGAGAGAUUGGAAGAAACUACGCAUAACAAGCCCGAGAUCCACCACUCGCGGCAGAGCAGCGGGGAGCGCUCCGAGCGUGCGAACGCGCACGCGCACGGCGCGCCGCCGUACCGCGCGCCGCCUGCAAGAACAGCGCCCACGCACCAACGUAAUCUGUGGAUGCGGGUUUUUAACUACUCAAGUUUAAGAGCGGAAUGGAAAGUGCCUGGGGACCAACCGGCCACUACGUCAACUACGACGAAAUCCAACAAAACCUUAACGCGCGGCGUGAAAAGUUGAGCGAGGUGCAAAUAGGACAGAUGAGGCGGCAGGUCCAUGCGCAGAGGGCCAAAGUCGAGGAAGAGAGCCGCCGUGUAGGCGCUACCACUGGUUACCACUCGCAGCGCUCCUGUAGAGACCCGCCCGCCCCGCGGCCGCAGUCCAACUACUACGAGUACGAGAGCGCGGCCCCCAAGCGGCCAGGCAAGCUCUCACAUUACCACU